GAUGAACGCUAGCGGCAGGCCUAACACAUGCAAGUCGAGGGGUAGAGUUCUUCGGGACUUGAGACCGGCGCACGGGUGCGUAACGCGUAUGCAAUCUACCUUAUACAGGGGAAUAGCCCCAGAGAAAUUUGGAUUAAUGCCCCAUAGUAUUAUUGAAUGGCAUCAUUUGAUAAUUAAAGUUCCAACGGUAUAAGAUGAGCAUGCGUCCCAUUAGUUAGUUGGUAAGGUGACGGCUUACCAUGGCUACGAUGGGUAGGGGUCCUGAGAGGGAGAUCCCCCACACUGGUACUGAGACACGGACCAGACUCCUACGGGAGGCAGCAGUGGGGAAUAUUGGACAAUGGGCGAAAGCCUGAUCCAGCAAUGCCGCGUGAGUGAUGAAGGCCUUGGUUGUAAAGCUCUUUACUCGGGACGAUAAUGACGGUACCGAGAGAAUAAGCCCCGGCUAACUACCGUGCCAGCAGCCGCGGUAAAGU
rnacentral:rRNA from 1 species